AAAAAAUAAAAAAGAAAGUUUUCCCUCCUCGUUUAAGGGAAGCGCAUCUUUUGAGUUACUUCUUGUUGCUUCCCCGUUGUUCUUGCUGCUCCCCCUUUGUACCCACUCACGAUUCUCCCCCAAACCCCACCGAUCGGCGACAUACCGCAACCACCACACCACCACCACCGCCACGCCAAUUCUGCUUGCUGCUUCUGCUCACCCCACCAAUUCUGCGGACUGCUUCUGCUCACCCCACCCCCGUUUGCGAAGUUCAAUUCUCUAACACUACUACCACCAGUGUGCACCUCCUCAACCUGCGACGAAAUUUUACAUCCCCUUCCGCCUAGUUCUUCUCCUGUCACAAGGUGGGUACAAUGGUCCACGGCGAAGUUAGCAAGGAGUCAACAACUGACUAUAUUUCAGAUUUGUGCGCCCUUACAGGCAGGUUGUGCGCGCGCACAAACUUGUACCUCUACUAUGUUGUUGUUCUGUUUGUUGUUGCUGAUCUGCUCGUGGAUUGGUGCUAUUUGCUUGCUUCGUGUGGGGCUGUUUUUGCAGUUUUCUUGCUCGCAUGACAGUAGCUUCAUGAACGACGACAAUAAAUGAUUUAGCAAUGACAGUAUACGGAAGUGCUGUGACAGGUUACACGGAGCCACUGCUGUUGUCAACGCUCAUGUAUGUAGCUGCUGUUGUAUGGCUGCAAUGUUAUUGAGUUGCUGUUGGUUGUUCGUUGCAGUGGCCUUGGUUGCUAUUGGGGAAGAUGGGAGUCUUAUUGGUGUGCUGAGCACAUAAGAAACAAAAUCAGACAACCAACGACUCUUAGAAAUGGCUCAUUCUAGGACAUUGUCGAUGUUGAUUUGAUAAGUGGUGUUUCUUGCCAAGCUCCUUAAAUGGGUCAACAAAACUGACGAUGAAUGGGAAUUUUAUACAAACGGCAGAACUGGGGAAACUUUUAAGGUGGUAGCUUACGGAUUUUGGUAUCAAACAUACCAUUUUGAGGCGUCUGGCAUCAUAUGGACGUAACAUUAUUGUUGUUCCAUCAACAUGGCAAGCACAAGAGACACUGAAAAUUCAACCAGGUGGCGUUUUCUUUAGCAGUGGCCCGGGAGAUCCCUCAGCUGUACCAUAUGUUGUUGAUACAGUGAAGGAAUUAAUUGGACAUGCCCGAUAUUGGAGAUCCCUCAGCUGUACCAACUGCCGGGUCAAGCAUUGGGUGUAAAACUUAUAAAAUGAAGUUUGAUCAUCAUGAAGGAAAUCACCCUACUCGUAAUAUAAGAAACGGCCAGGUUGAAACUAGCGCACAGGUACUAUAUUCAUAAGUAAUUUAUUGUUAUCCCGCUGUUAAUCCUGUAGUUUUUUCCCUCCAACUGGUUUUGAGUUUUUCUUCAUUUUUUUA